rnacentral:rRNA from 1 species
UAGCUCCCUGGUUGAUCCUGCCAGUAGUUAUAUGCUUGUCUCAAAGACUAAGCCAUGCAUGUCUCAGUGCAAGCCGUAUUAAGGCGAUACCGCGAAUGGCUCAAUAUAUCAGUUUUGGUUCCUUAGAUCUUACUCAGUUACUUGGAUAACUGUGGCAAUUCUAGAGCUAAUACAUGCAAUCAGAGCUCCGACCAGUGAUGGGAAGAGUGCUUUUAUUAGAUCAAAACCAAUCGACGGAGGCGGCCUCGGUCGCCGAAGUCGUUUCUUUUGAUGAGUCUGGAUAACUUUUGCCGAUCGCACGGUCCAGUACCGGCGACGCAUCUUUCAAAUGUCUGCCUUAUCAACUUUCGAUGGUAGUUUCUGCGACUACCAUGGUUGUCACGGGUAACGGGGAAUCAGGGUUCGAUUCCGGAGAGGGAGCCUGAGAAACGGCUACCACAUCCAAGGAAGGCAGCAGGCGCGCAAAUUACCCACUCCCGGCACGGGGAGGUAGUGACGAAAAAUAACGAUACGGGACUCUUUCGAGGCCUCGUAAUCGGAAUGAGAACACUUUAAAUAUUUUAACGAGUAUCAAUUGGAGGGCAAGUCUGGUGCCAGCAGCCGCGGUAAUUCCAGCUCCAAUAGCGUAUACUAAAAUUGUUGCGGUUAAAAAGCUCGUAGUUGCAUUUGUGCGCCGCGCUGUCGGUUCACCGCGUCAGCGGUGAGACUGACACGUUUGCGGAGCAUAUCGUCGGUGAGCUUUCGGUAAAACGGAAGUUCAAUAUCAAAAAUCCUAUCGCGGUGCUCUUCGUUGAGUGUCGAGGUGGGCCGACAAUUUUACUUUGAACAAAUUAGAGUGCUUAAAGCGGGCUCAAAAUGCUGCUUGAAUAUUGAGUGCAUGGAAUAAUGGAAUACGACCUCGGUUCUAUUUUGUUGGUUUUCAGAACUCCGAGGUAAUGAUUAAUAGGGAUAACUGGGGGCAUUCGUAUUGCGACGUUAGAGGUGAAAUUCUUGGAUCGUCGCAAGACGAACAUCAGCGAAGGCAUUUGCCAAAGGUGUUUUCAUCAAUCAAGAACGAAAGUCAGAGGUUCGAAGGCGAUUAGAUACCGCCCUAGUUCUGACCAUAAAUAUGUCGAUUAGCGAUCCGCCGAUGUUACUACAAUGGCUCGGCGGGCGGCUUCCGGGAAACCAAAAUUUUUGGACUCCGGGGGGAGUAUGGUUGCAAAGCUGAAACUUAAAGGAAUUGACGGAAGGGCACCACCAGGAGUGGAGCCUGCGGCUUAAUUUGACUCAACACGGGAAAUCUCACCAGGCCCGGACACCGGAAGGAUUGACAGAUUAACAGCUCUUUCUUGAUUCGGUGGGUGGUGGUGCAUGGCCGUUCUUAGUUGGUGGAGCGAUUUGUCUGGUUAAUUCCGGUAACGAACGAGACUCUAGCCUGCUAAAUAGGCGUCGUCAUUUCGGUGCGCGCGACUCGUUCGCGCAACUCACUGGCGGCGUAAUUAAAUUCUUCUUAGAGGGACCGGCGGUUUCGAGCCGCACGAGAUUGAGCAAUAACAGGUCUGUGAUGCCCUUAGAUGUCCUGGGCCGCACGCGCGCUACACUGAAGGAAUCAGCAUGUUCUCCCUGGCCUAGAGGCCCGGGCAACCCGCUGAAACUCCUUCGUGCUGGGGAUUGGGGUUUGCAAUUAUCCCCCAUAAACGAGGAAUUCCUAGUAAGCGCGAGUCAUAAGCUCGCGUUGAUUACGUCCCUGCCCUUUGUACACACCGCCCGUCGCUACUACCGAUUGAAUGAUUUAGUGAGGUCUUCGGACCGACACGCGGUGGCUUCGCGGCCGUCGGCGUUGCUGGGAAGUUGACCAAACUUGAUCAUUUAGAGGAAGUAAAAGUCGUAACAAGGUUUCCGUAGGGGAACCUGCGGAAGGAUCAUUAACGAGAAUAGUUGUCGUACGCGCGCGCUAAGUGUCCGUGUAUAACGAUUAUCCGAACAAUAAUCCGAUCACACAGCGGCGGGGCGCCGCGCUUACCUUCGCUUAGAUGGGCGUCAAAUCCCGACCCGGAGCGAGGCGAGCGCGCGCGCCCAUCCCUUAAAACAAUAAAAUAAACAAGUAAACGAAUUUUUAAUGACGGGUAAGCGCGAGCAGUUCGGUUUCGAUCGGAGCUCGUUAUUUCUUUUUUUAUUUACAAAAAAAUUAUGAAAUUUUACUUUCACUUGCAAAACAUUAUAAUUACGUUGUUGUGGUUUGUUCGUGUGGUUUGCGGUUUCAACAACCACCACGAUCACCACUCCGACAAAUGAUUACCCUGAACGGUGGAUCACUUGGCUCGCGGGUCGAUGAAGAACGCAGUUAACUGCGCGUCAUAGUGUGAACUGCAGGACACAUUUGAACAUCGACAUUUCGAACGCACAUUGCGGUCCGUGGAGACAUAUCCUGGACCACUCCUGUCUGAGGGCCGGCUGUAAUGAAACAAUGCCACACUGCUCGCUGGCGCUGCCGCGCUAGCGCAGCGUCUGACCGUUC